GAUGAACGCUGGCGGCAUGCCUAAUACAUGCAAGUCGAACGAGAGGAAGGAAAGCUUGCUUUCCUGAAUCUAGUGGCGAACGGGUGAGUAACACGUAGGUAACCUGCCCAUGUGCCCGGGAUAACUUCUGGAAACGGAUGCUAAAACCGGAUAGGUAGCAGACAAGCAUUUGACUGCUAUUAAAGUGGCCUUGGCCAUGAACAUGGAUGGACCUGCGGUGCAUUAGCUAGUUGGUGAGGUAACGGCCCACCAAGGCGACGAUGCAUAGCCGGCCUGAGAGGGCGGACGGCCACAUUGGGACUGAGACACGGCCCAAACUCCUACGGGAGGCAGCAGUAGGGAAUUUUCGUCAAUGGGGGGAACCCUGAACGAGCAAUGCCGCGUGAGUGAGGAAGGUCUUCGGAUCGUAAAGCUCUGUUGUAAGAGAAAAACGGCACUCAUAGGGAAUGAUGAGUGAGUGAUGGUAUCUUACCAGAAAGUCACGGCUAACUACGUGCCAGCAGCCGCGGUAAGAC
rnacentral:rRNA from 1 species